rnacentral:rRNA from 1 species
AUUGAACGCUGGCGGCAUGCUUUACACAUGCAAGUCGAACGGUAACAGGCCUUCGGGUGCUGACGAGUGGCGAACGGGUGAGUAAUGCAUCGGAACGUACCCAGAGGUGGGGGAUAACGCAGCGAAAGCUGUGCUAAUACCGCAUGUGAUCUGAGGAUGAAAGCGGGGGACCGAGCAGCAAUGUUUGGCCUCGCGCCUUUGGAGCGGCCGAUGUCGGAUUAGCUAGUUGGUGGGGUAAAGGCCUACCAAGGCGAUGAUCCGUAGCUGGUCUGAGAGGACGACCAGCCACACUGGGACUGAGACACGGCCCAGACUCCUACGGGAGGCAGCAGUGGGGAAUUUUGGACAAUGGGCGCAAGCCUGAUCCAGCAAUGCCGCGUGCGGGAAGAAGGCCUUCGGGUUGUAAACCGCUUUUGGCAGGAACGAAACGGUGUCCGCUAAUACCGGGCGCUAAUGACGGUACCUGCAGAAUAAGCACCGGCUAACUACGUG